AAGUGAUCGUGUGUGGGGGAGGAGGAGAGUUUAUGCGCGCGCGCGCCUCCUCCUCCCCACGCCAAUCUUGUGUGAAACCGUUAUUCUGUGGUGUGUGUAUGCGUUGGUGUGUGAUGUGUUUACAGCACUCCCACCAGCAUCACAAACACAAUAAUCUCUCUUUAACCUUUGUCUAACAUGAUGUACCCACAAUUCAAAA
rnacentral:misc_RNA from 1 species